UGAGCAUCAGCAACUGGAGCGUGGCUCCAGGACUCAGAGGCUCAUACAUCCAAAUAUCAGCAACUGGGGAGACUGGGCAUCCCAGGGACAGCUACUGGAUAGAACUGGGUGUCUAAGACCAGAUGCAGCAGCCCCCCGUUCACCUCCGCAAUCUUGGAAUCUAAUGAAUUCCUUGGCUACAGGCUGGUGCAUGCAGAACACUGAUGCUGACAACAAAUUGCUGCCUACAAUUUGGCACAACGGGCUUUGUAGCAAUCAACAAGCAUUAGCAUCAAUUGGAUUGCCAUAGCACGAGCCAGUAUAGCAAAAUCUGGAAACAGGAAAGGCAUCAGCUUUAGACUGCAAUCAGCUAGCCGAGUCAUUGCCAGGACCUGGGGGACAGGUAGCUGAAGGAUGAGUACCACUAAAGAUUUCCAUCUGUGUCUGGGAAGUGUUUCUACUGGAGAGAUAUUGCCGUAAUAACAUUCAGACGGCAGGAAGGAACACAAUGGAAGGAAAGCGGAAACCUACAGAGGACAUCUUCUAUCAGCAAGACUUCAUUCAACAUUUUUUCUCCAAAUUCCAAUUUCUUUGGACUAGCUUAUGCAGGAUGCUUUAGCAGGGAAGCCUAGUACAGAGUUCAAGAAGGCAUGCACAGAAUGCUAUGGCAGAGAAGCAGCAGCUUUGCUUUUGUUAGCAUAAUAAAGCUGGGCUGACAAAUUCAGAGGCAGUGGAGAAGGAAGCUGAAAUGGAUAAAGUAAAAAUCCAGAUCUGAGAACUAUGUGAAAAACAAGAGCUCAGAGAGCGUUAGAGGGGAACAUGAUAGUCUGCCCUGAAACAAAAGUGGUUCCAUCAGGAGAAGGAAGACCCUCCUAGGCGAGGAAGGCUUUUUAUCAGUUUGCUCAGCACAGAAACCUGCAGUACUUUUAAGGGUACUCUUCUCAGGCUACUUUUAACAAGCUGACUUUCAAAAAGGCCUAAUUCUGCUGAUUCCAUCAGAUUCGAAGGGUCUUGUGGGUCCAUGUGAAAUGUGAAUGUCUGUCAUAUGUCCCCAAGUUUUCUCUGAGACAUUGUUUCACAGCCCAGCAGACAUUUUGCAGAAAGUUUCCUCUAAGUGAAUGUAAAAGAAAUACAAGCAUGUUUUCCCCUAGCAAGUAUCACUGCAGUACUUUUGUUCUGUACCUAGCAACAAACUUUUGUAGCAGCAAAUCCUGCAAUCAAUUUUAUUAAUAUUCAGGACUGUUUCAGACUCAGAGAAAACAUAGUGAUAGUGAGAUUCCAACAAGGUGGUUCCCUGUCUGUUUUGUGCAAAUUACUGUGAAUCAGCAGGAAUUUUGAAAUGAAAUCAGAAGCUGACAUUUCAUCACCCCAUUAAUAACUCGGCAAUGGACACUAUUUCCAAUAGAAUACAGGACAGAAGAAAAAGCUUUGGGAGAUUAAGCAAAUUAAUGAAUGCAAUGUCAAGAUAUCAAAUGUGAUAGUCCAGAUAUAAAAAAUGGCAGACUAAUUCCCUAGAUAUUUGAUUUCCAGAAGAUGAAGGCUUGCUUAGUAUACUAUAUAUACUUAUUUUUACAUGUAUAUACAGAUGUGUGUAUUUAUGUAUGAAUAAUUUAUUUUCUUAACACACACUAUACACUAUAUGUAUGUCAUAUAUACUACUUUCACAGCCACUCCUGGACAUUGCUGAAGUUAGACUAAAUGAACCUUUUACCUUAAUACUGCAAAAAGCUCAGAUGAGACCUGGAAAAUGGCUUGUUCAGCAUCAGUUUUGUGAGAGCUUUAACAAGGAUUACAGACACUUACUUCCCCUUUCUUUCUUUCGACAUACCUACACUAUCAGGGAGGAAUCUACUUAGCCACCUACACAUUUAUUAAUUUCUGCUCCCUGCAAGCCUACAGACUCUCUAGUGAGUUCUGUUUUGUGGGGUGGGAACAUCAUUUUAGGUAA